UGGUGAAUAUUGCACAAUGGGCGCAAGCCUGAUGCAGCCAUGCCGCGUGUAUGAAGAAGGCCUUCGGGUUGUAAAGUACUUUCAGCGGGGAGGAAGGGAGUAAAGUUAAUACCUUUGCUCAUUGACGUUACCCGCAGAAGAAGCACCGGCUAACUCCGUGCCAGCAGCCGCGGUAAUACGGAGGGUGCAAGCGUUAAUCGGAAUUACUGGGCGUAAAGCGCACGCAGGCGGUUUGUUAAGUCAGAUGUGAAAUCCCCGGGCUCAACCUGGGAACUGCAUCUGAUACUGGCAAGCUUGAGUCUCGUAGAGGGGGGUAGAAUUCCAGGUGUAGCGGUGAAAUGCGUAGAGAUCUGGAGGAAUACCGGUGGCGAAGGCGGCCCCCUGGACGAAGACUGACGCUCAGGUGCGAAAGCGUGGGGAGCAAACAGG
rnacentral:rRNA from 2 species